UGUACACACCGCCCGUCACACCAUGGAAGUUGAUUGCACCAGAAGUCGGUAGCUUAACCGCAAGGAGAGCGCCGCCCACGGUGUGGUCAAUGACUGGGGUGAAGUCGUAACAAGGUAGCCGUACGGGAACGUGCGGCUGGAUCACCUCCUU
rnacentral:rRNA from 1 species